UAAUUAUACGGUAUUUUGUGACUAUAUAGAUAUGUAUAAUUGAUUGAGGUUGCCAAUGGAGCCCGAAUCUGAUAUAUUGUUGGUCAGUUGUUGUUAGAUCUAUUUUUCAGUAUUAAAUGCAGUAUGAUAUUUGAUGUAUUUAUUUUAUGGUCUCGUAUGCAUGAAUGAUGGUUUCUUUUAUUAUGGUUUGUAUUAUGGUGAACUCGAUACUGUGUUGUCUUGUUUGGCGUCAAUUAUUGGUUUACAUGUUUGUGUAUGAUUG
rnacentral:lncRNA from 1 species